ensembl:lncRNA
UUUUUACGCUCUAAAUUAUGUCCAUGAUAGAGUACAUAUGUCCUCAUAUCUUCGAAUGCAUUGAAAUCUCCGGGAGUAACAAUAAAAAUACAUGUUUUGUGGUUGCAACCUGAGCUUCUGAUUCUUAAGUAUUCCAUAAGUCCUCCCAAAUCUGUAUUUUUAAUGAGUUGCCUAGGAGAUUCUUAUGCAUAUCAAGGUUUGAGACUCACUGGUAUUGUGGGAGCAACCUAUGUUAGAGAGCUGAGCUUCAGUCACACUUACCUACUAUUUAGUGUAUAAACCUUGCUACAUCUUAGCUUCCUCAAAGUAGUACUAGUAAUACCUGCCUCACAGGAUCAUGACGGUAAUCAAUGUGCAAGACCUUAAUAAAAUGUAAAGCCAACAAAACCAGCAGGUGCAGAAUUCCACAAUUGAGGGAACUGUGAAAUUCUGCACCUGCUGGUUCUGUUGACUUUACUGAAGGGAAUUUCACCAUUAGGGUCCCUUAGCCAGUAAAGGUAACUUCACUAACCAGCAUCCUAAGACAGAUGCAGAUUCUGAGAGAGAAAUCAGUCUGACAAUUUGUGUUACGGGUUUAACUGUGCCCCCUCCAUCCCAAAAAAUAUGUUAAAGUCCAAUCCCCCAGGACCUCAGAAUGAGACCUUAUUUGGAGACAAGGUCUUUACAGAGAUAAUCAGGUGGCAAUGAGAUCAUUAGGGUGCCCUAAUCCAAUAUGACUGUCGUCCUUAUCAAAAGUGGAAAUGUGAGCAAAGAAACAGACACACCAGGACAGAGGUGAGGCAGGAGAAUCACUUGAACCUGGGAGGUGGAGGUUGCAGUGAGCCAACAUUGUGCCAUUGCACUCUGGCCUGGGUGACAAGAGUGAAACUCCAUCUGAAAAAAAAAAUCGUGUGUUUUUACCAGAAGAGGACUCCUCUAGUAUCGGCUUGGUGCCAAUUAUGGGCAUUCUUUAGAUUUCUAACUUAAAAUAUCAUUCAUAUGUGUAGUCAUGGAAGCUUAAUAUCUCCUUAUCUGAAAGCAAUAGUUUGUAGUUUUAUUUUUUUGAUGGAAGUUAUGAGGAAGAGAGUUUGAGCUUUGUUAGCAUCAAGGUUGUACCCUUUAACUGGAUUAGUCACUAUGGAGACAGACUCUAGAACCAGAAAGCUUUGUACUAGUCCAGUGGUAGGAAGACUUAUAAAAAUGAACUGUGAGUCUUGUUAAUUUUUAUUGGGGUACAAUUUUGGUUUUGUUACUCUUUUUUUCUUUUGAGUUGGAGUCUCACACUGUCGCCUGGACUGAAGUGCAAUGGCGUGAUCUUGGCUCACUGCAACCUCUGCCUUCUCGGUUAAAGAGAUUCUCUCACCUCAGCCUCCCAAGUAGUUGGAUGCCCUCCACCAUAGCCGGCUAGUUUUUUGUACUUUUUUAGUAGAGACAGAGUUUCACCAUGUUGGCCAGGCUGGUCUCGAACUCCUGAACUCAUGAUCUGCCCACCUCGGCCUCCCAAAGUGCUGGGAUUAGGUGUGAUCCACCGCGCCUGGCCCGGUUUUGUUAUUCUGAUAAAAUUGUAGAGAAUAAUGAAAUUGAGAAAUGAAGGUAUUAAGUUAAAAUUGUUUUGGAAAUGGAAAUAUUAAGUUUUCUGUGUACUUUUAAGCACAGUGGUGAUGCAUUCAUAAAUUUAUUGUAAUAAUUUCCCCUAAUUAAUUUUAACAUGUGUAAAUUCUCUUUCAGAAUCAAGAUAAUCAAUGUAUCAAGAGCCCAACAAUCCUAUAAUUCCAUUGUACAGAUACGUGAGAAAAACCGUCUGUUUAAUAUAAUGUAAUUAUUGCCAUUUAAGAUGCUUUAUAUAAUGUACUUGAUAUGGUUUGGCUAUGUCUCCACCCACAUCUCAAAUUGUAUCUCCCAGAGUGGGAGGGACCCAGGGGUAGGUAAUUGAAUUAUGGCGACUGGCCUUUCCCGUGCUAUUUUCACGGUAGUGAGUAAGUCUCAUGAGAUCUAGUGGGUUAAUCAGGGGCUUUUACUUCUGCCUCAUUUUCUCUUACUGCCACCAUGUAAGAAGUGCCUUUUGCCUCUCAAUGUGAUUCUAAGGCCUCCAGGCCAUGUGGAACUGUAAGUCCAAUUAAACCUCUUUUUCUUCUCAGUCUCCAGUAUGUCUUUAUCAGCAGCGUGAAAAUGGACUAAUACAGUAUUGAUAUUUACCCUGUUUUAUUUUUUAGUUUCUUAAAAAGUACGUACUGUUACCAUAGUGAAAAAAAUUUAACUUGUGCUGCAUACAAAAUAUUUUAAUGAAUCCUUAACACUGUUCUUCAGUUAAAAUCUUUGUGUCCUGUAUACUUGGCCUAGGUAUCUCUGAGUCAGAAUCAAGUUUUUUUUUGCUUUUUUUUGUUUUUUGUUUUUUUUAGUAGAUUAAUAUAUGACCCACUCUACUUACUUGAAAUCAAUGGUCUUAGGUUAGGAAUUGAGUUAAAGGCAAUUCUUUAUAGAUGGAGUUCUUUUUAUAACUGGGUAACUGGAUUCUGCAAUUAGAAUCAUGACCCGAUAUUUCUGAAACAUCUUCAGACUAUACUUAAUGCCUUUGACAGUCUUACAUAUUUAUCUAUUAAAGUAAGAGUGGUUGUAAUUUCAGUAUAUUCUUGGGUAUUGAGUUGUAAAUUUUUUUAAACUAAAUCUAAAAUAUCUUUCAUAAACUUUAUUGGUCUUUAAAUUUUCCUUAUACCCUAUUCACAGUGCAUGUUUUGAGUUUUUG